rnacentral:rRNA from 1 species
AACGAACGCUGGCGGCAGGCUUAACACAUGCAAGUCGAAUGCCCCGCAAGGGGAGUGGCAGACGGGUGAGUAACGCGUGGGAAUCUACCUAGUUCUACGGAACAACAGUUGGAAACGACUGCUAAUACCGUAUACGCCCUAUGGGGGAAAGAUUUAUCGGAAUUAGAUGAGCCCGCGUAAGAUUAGCUAGUUGGUGAGGUAAUGGCUCACCAAGGCGACGAUCGGUAGCUGGUCUGAGAGGAUGAUCAGCCACACUGGGACUGAGACACGGCCCAGACUCCUACGGGAGGCAGCAGUGGGGAAUAUUGGACAAUGGGCGAAAGCCUGAUCCAGCAAUGCCGCGUGAGUGAUGAAGGCCUUAGGGUUGUAAAGCUCUUUCGGGUGGGACGAUGAUGACGGUACCACCAGAAGAAGCCCCGGCUAACUUCGUGCCAGCCGCCGCAGUAACAC